rnacentral:rRNA from 1 species
CUGACGGAGCACGCCGCGUGAGUGAUGAAGGUCUUCGGAUCGUAAAACUCUGUUAUUAGGGAAGAACAAACGUGUAAGUAACUGUGCACGUCUUGACGGUACCUAAUCAGAAAGCCACGGCUAACUACGUGCCAGCAGCCGCGGUAAUACGUAGGUGGCAAGCGUUAUCCGGAAUUAUUGGGCGUAAAGCGCGCGUAGGCGGUUUUUUAAGUCUGAUGUGAAAGCCCACGGCUCAACCGUGGAGGGUCAUUGGAAACUGGAAAACUUGAGUGCAGAAGAGGAAAGUGGAAUUCCAUGUGUAGCGGUGAAAUGCGCAGAGAUAUGGAGGAACACCAGUGGCGAAGGCGACUUUCUGGUCUGUAACUGACGCUGAUGUGCGAAAGCGUGGGGAUCAAACA